rnacentral:rRNA from 1 species
UACAGAGGUGGCAAGCGUUGUUCGGAAUUACUGGGCGUAAAGCGUGCGUAGACGGUUAUUUAAGUCAGGUGUGAAAUCCCCAGGCUUAACCUGGGAACUGCAUUCGAGACUGCAUUGCUAGAGUAUGGGAGAGGGAAGUGGAAUUUCCGGUGUAGCGGUGAAAUGCGUAGAUAUCGGAAGGAACAUCAGUGGCGAAAGCGACUUCCUGGACCAAUACUGACGCUCAUGUGCGAAAGCGUGGGGAGCAAACAGG